AACGAACGCUGGCGGCAGGCUUAACACAUGCAAGUCGAACGCAUCGCAAGAUGAGUGGCAGACGGGUGAGUAACGCGUGGGAAUCUACCUAGUUCUACGGAACAACAGUUGGAAACGACUGCUAAUACCGUAUACGCCCUACGGGGGAAAGAUUUAUCGGAAUUAGAUGAGCCCGCGUAAGAUUAGCUAGUUGGUGGGGUAAUGGCCUACAAAGGCGACGAUCUUUAGCUGGUCUGAGAGGAUGAUCAGCCACACUGGGACUGAGCAACGGCCCAGCAUCCUACGGGAGGCAGCAGUGGGGAAUAUUGGACAAUGGGCGCAAGCCUGAUCCAGCCAUGCCGCGUGAGUGAUGAAGGCCUUAGGGUUGUAAAGCUCUUUCACCGAUGAAGAUAAUGACGGUAGUCGGAGAAGAAGCCCCGGCUAACUUCGUGCCAGCAGCCGCCGUAAAAC
rnacentral:rRNA from 1 species